CACGUAGGGGACGAGCGUUGUCCGGAUUCAUUGGGCGUAAAGCGCGCGUAGGCGGCUCGGAAAGUCGGUCGUGAAAUGCCGGGGCUCAACCCCGGGACUGCGUCCGAUACUCUCGAGCUGGAGGCAGGUAAGGGAGAUCGGAAUUCCUGGUGUAGCGGUGAAAUGCGCAGAUAUCAGGAGGAACACCGGUGGCGAAGGCGGAUCUCUGGGCCUUGCCUGACGCUGAGGCGCGAAAGCUAGGGGAGCGAACAGG
rnacentral:rRNA from 1 species